rnacentral:rRNA from 1 species
CCUGCCCAAUGAUUGUUGAAUGGCCGCAGUAUUUUGACUGUGCAAAGGUAGCAUAAUCAUUAGUUUCUUAAUUAGGAACUUGUAUGAAUGGUUGGAUGAGAAAUAAUCUGUCUUUAAUUAAAUUUUAUAAGAAUUUUAUUUUUAAGUUAAAAAGCUUUAAUUUGUAUUAAAGACGAGAAGACCCUAUAGAGUUUAAUAAUUUAUUAAUUUUGAUUAUUUAAGAAUUUAUUUUUUAUUAUUUUUAAAUUAUUUUAUUGGGGUGAUGGGGAAAUUUAUUUAACUUUCUUUUUUAAAAACAUUGAUUUAUGAUUAUUUGAUCCAAUUAUUUUGAUUAUAAGAUUAAAUUACCUUAGGGAUAACAGCGUAAUUUUUUUGGAGAGUUCUUAUCGAUAAAAAAGUUUGCGACCUCGAUGUUGGAUUAAAAUUUAUGGCUGGCGUAGAAGUUAGUUUUUUAAGUCUGUUCGACUUUUAAAAUUUUACAUGAUCUGAGUUUAAACCGGUGUGAGCCAGGUUGGUUUCUAUCUUAAUAUAAUUUUAAUAUUUUAGUACGAAAGGACCGAUUAUUUAUAAUAUUUAUUUUGUUUGAAUUAAAUUAAUUUGUUACUUUGGCAGAUUAGUGCACUAAAUUUAGAAUUUAUUUAUGUAUAUUUAUACAAGUAAUACUUGAUUUUACAAGAUUUUAUUUUGAUUU